AUGAGCCGCGCAUCACCGUGGACGCCGGCAAACCUACAACCAGCAGAUUGUCGCGAGGAUAAGAAGAGGAGAUUACCCCAAGGUCACACUGGAAAGGUCGUAAGCAGCAGCGGAUCGGCACAUGAAGAUCUCGACGACAUGUUUGCGUCGCUGUCCAUCGACAGCGUCCUCGCUCAAGAAAAUUCAGGAGAUCGUUCCAAGGACAGGAAGAGAAAAUCAUGCCAAGAAAGUGCUGGAAAUUUGACUAACGCUUUAUCGGAUGAUGUUUUGGAAAACAUGUUUGCGUCGCUUUCGAUCGAUUCUAGAGUGACAAGUACUGCUUCCACAAGAUCGGGGAAAGGAUCUUUUAUUAUUCUUGAUGACAAUAUUCUCGCUGGAGGUAAUUCAGAUUGCACCACUUCCACUGACUCUAGGAGGCCAAGGUCAGAGGUAUUCAUUGAAAGGGUAAAUGACCUGUUGCUGCACCAUGAUGGAACUGGUGUUCGAGUGUUCGAGGUUCGUUUUGAUUUGAACUCCACUCAUGCUGCCCACCUUGACAAAUGGGUCCAGUUUGCGUCAGAGGCGGGUGCACAAGAUGUGAAACUUAGCUUGUGUAAAGACAUGACAUCUUGUCCGGAGCAUUUGGUGACUGCAAAUCGUUAUAACUUCCCUUUGCAUUGCUUUGGCGAUGGGCGACAAAGAUCCUCGAUGCGGAAGCUAGACCUGACGAAUUGCAUAUUCACGCCACCGCUGGAUUCCAGUGCCUUUUCCUCCCUUGUAUGCCUUUAUCUAGUACGUGCCACAAUAACCGACGCCGGCGUCCAGAACAUUUGCUCUUGCUGCCCUAUUCUCCGCCAUUUGAGACUGGCACGAUGUGACGAUCUUGUUAAUGUAAGGAUUUCCCAUGAAGUGCUGAUAUGUUUGGAUAUAUUUCGUUGCAAAAAGCUGGUGAGUGUUGAGAUUCACGCCACCUGCCUACUCAUCUUCGAGUAUGAUGGGCAUGAGGUACACAUCAAUUAUGCUAGUACCCCCAGUAUGAGGUUUUUGGCAAAUAAUUUCAAGAACCGAAAUAGUUAUCUUUCGGACGGUGUAGAAGCCAUGAAAAGGAUCAGAAAAAUCACCUUGACAUUUCUUUGGCCAUCGGAGAAGCCCAGUUAUACACUUUACGCGAUCAAAUUCCCAGCAUUACAGUUCAUCAACCUAUUUAUUUUGCCAUCUUGGAAUAAUGUUCGUGGAGUAGCUUAUCUCGUCAAGGCAACUCCUUAUCUUAAAAGACUCCGGCUAGAAGCACGCAGCGGAGACCACCAUUAUCGGGACGACGUCCAGGUCAGCUGGCCCGAGGGCAUCUCUCUCAAGAGGCUCCGUUUCAUCACCGUGGGCGGUUUCGCCGCCCAGGCCCCGCUGGUCGAGCUCUUGGUGUGCCUGGUGCACGCGGGCGCCCCACCAUCUCUGCAAAGGGCUGGGCAGGUGGGUCAGGGAGGAAGACGUCGGCGACAAGCCUGCGAGGGACCGCGCGAGGGAGACCCUCCGCUCACUGUGACUGAGAGCUGGCCAGAUUUUUGUUUUGUUUUGUGGGGUAGCUGGCUAGACAAGAGCCCGGAGUUCCUUGUGGACAGCUAG
rnacentral:rRNA from 1 species